rnacentral:rRNA from 1 species
CCCUUAGAUGUUCUGGGCUGCACGCGCGCGACAAUGACGUUUGCAACGAGAUUGCGAGGCCGUCAGGUCGAGCUGAUCUUGCAAGCUGCGUCGUGAUAGGGACAGUCGAUUGCAAUUAUUCGACUCGAACGAGGAAUUCCUUGUAAUCGCGCAUCAUCAGUGCGCGCUGAAUACGUCCCUGCCCUUUGUACACACCGCCCGCCGCUCCUACCGAUUGAGUGAUCCGGUGAAUGUUUUGGAUCGGCUUCAAGUUGGUUCGCGCCUCUUGCUUGCUGUGAAAUCAUGUAAACCUUAUUGCUUAGAGGAAGGAGAAGUCGUAACA